rnacentral:rRNA from 1 species
GACGAACGCUGGCGGCGUGCCUAAUUCAUGCAAGUAGAACGCACAGUUUAUACCGUAGCUUGCUACACCAUAGACUGUGAGUUGCGAACGGGUGAGUAACGCGUAGGUAACCUGCCGGGUAGCGGGGGAUAACUAUUGGAAACGAUAGCUAAUACCGCAUAAUAUUAAUUAUUGCAUGAUAAUUAAUUGAAAGGUGCAAUUGCACCACUACCAGAUGGACCUGCGUUGUAUUAGCUAGUAGGUGAGGUAACGGCUCACCUAGGCGACGAUACAUAGCCGACCUGAGAGGGUGAUCGGCCACACUGGGACUGAGACACGGCCCAGACUCCUACGGGAGGCAGCAGUAGGGAAUCUUCGGCAAUGGACGAAAGUCUGACCGAGCAACGCCGCGGGAGUGAAGAAGGUUUUCGGAUCGUAAAGCUCCGUUGUAAGAGAAGAACGGGUGUGAGAGUGGAAAGUUCACACUGUGACGGUAUCUUACCAGAAAGGGACGGCUAACUACGUG